CAGUAGCCGCGGUAAUACGGAGGGUGCAAGCGUUAAUCGGAAUUACUGGGCGUAAAGCGCACGCAGGCGGUUUGUUAAGUCAGAUGUGAAAUCCCCGAGCUUAACUUGGGAACUGCAUUUGAAACUGGCAAGCUAGAGUCUUGUAGAGGGGGGUAGAAUUCCAGGUGUAGCGGUGAAAUGCGUAGAGAUCUGGAGGAAUACCGGGGGCGAAGGCGGCCCCCUGGACAAAGACUGACGCUCAGGUGCGAAAGCGUGGGGAGCAAACAGGAUUAGAUACCCGGGUAGUCCCUGUCUCUUAUAC
rnacentral:rRNA from 1 species